rnacentral:rRNA from 1 species
AGUGAACGCUGGCGGUAGGCCUAACACAUGCAAGUCGAACGGCAGCACAGUAAGAGCUUGCUCUUACGGGUGGCGAGUGGCGGACGGGUGAGGAAUACAUCGGAAUCUACUUUUUCGUGGGGGAUAACGUAGGGAAACUUACGCUAAUACCGCAUACGACCUACGGGUGAAAGCAGGGGAUCUUCGGACCUUGCGCGAUUGAAUGAGCCGAUGUCGGAUUAGCUAGUUGGCGGGGUAAAGGCCCACCAAGGCGACGAUCCGUAGCUGGUCUGAGAGGAUGAUCAGCCACACUGGAACUGGGACACGGUCCAGACUCCUACGGGAGGCAGCAGUGGGGAAUAUUGGACAAUGGGCGCAAGCCUGAUCCAGCCAUACCGCGUGGGUGAAGAAGGCCUUCGGGUUGUAAAGCCCUUUUGUUGGGAAAGAAAAGCAGCAGGUUAAUACCCCGCUGUUCUGACGGUACCCGAAGAAUAAGCACCGGCUAACUUCGU